rnacentral:tRNA from 1 species
AGUUCAGAGGUAGAACGUCAGCUUCCCAAGCUGAAUGUCAGGGGUUCGAUUCCCCUC